rnacentral:rRNA from 1 species
AGAGUUUGAUCCUGGCUCAGGAUGAACGCUGGCGAUGUGGAUAAGGCAUGCAAGUCAAGGGGGCCGCAAGGCAACCGGCAGACGAGGUAGUAACACGUAGGUACACCCCCAGAAGUCGGGCAUAGCCAGCCGAAAGGUUGGGUAAUUCCCGAUGGUCCCGCAAGGGUAAAGUUUUUCGCUUCUGGAGUGGCCUGCGUCAUAUCAGCUAGUUGGUAGGGUAACGGCCUACCAAGGCUACGACGUGUAGGGGGGCUGAGAGGCCGAUCCCCACCGAUGGCACUGCGAUACGGGCCAUACCUCUACGGAGGGCUGCAGCCGAGAAUAUUCCGCAAUGGACGAAAGUCUGACGGAGCGACAUCGCGUGAUGGAUGAAGUGCUUCGGUACGUAAACAUCUUUUAUGUGGGAAGAAAUUAUUGACGGUACCACAUGAAUAAGGGGCUCCUAACUCUGUGCCAGCAGGAGCGGUAAUACAGAGGCCCCAAGCGUUAUCCGGAAUUAUUGGGCGUAAAGGGUGUCCAGGCGGCCCUGUUAGUCGUUUGUAAAAUCCGUGAGCUUAACUUACGGUCCGCAAGCGAAACGGCAGGGCUCGAGGGCGCGAGAGGUAUAUGGAACUCACGGUGGAGGGGUGAAAUCCGUUGAUAUCGUGGGGAACACCAAAGGCGAAGGCAAUACUGGCGCGUUCCUGACGCUCACACACGAAAGCCAGGGGAUCGAACGGGAUUAGAUACCCCCGUAGUCC